AUAUGUUGUCAUGCCUAAAUUUAUACGUGGAUUAAAACGUGCAUAUUUGGACAUAGAUUGUAUGACGAGACAGCGAAAACUAUGUGCAGUGUGUGGCAAUCGGAUGACAUUACGCGUGGAUGGUUUUGCUACGGAUUUAAUCGAGAGACUGCGAUGUGUGUGUGUGUGUGUGUGUGUGUGUGUGUGUGUGUGUGUGCGUAACAUGCGGCGGGCGUAGGACACGGACAUACAUCAUUACAUGGUUGAAAAAUAUACAUUUGUCGUGGUUCGAACAGCGAGAGCGUGGACUUGUCGUGUUCGUGCGAGUUUCUCUCUACAGUACAUGGCUAGAUUUGGGAUGGAUUCGGUCAAGUGAAUGAGGCUGAAAAGUGCAUGAGAACCUUGCGGACAAUGCUGUCAAAAAUAUUGGCCACAAAACAGCCUAGUGGAAGCCGACGUACAAAUAUGACAGCUAAAAGACAGUGGGUGGUGGAACACCUCCACUUUCUAAAGCUGCAUAUGACAACAUCAAAAGCGGCAACAUCAACAUAUCAAGUACCGCGGCUCCAUCCGUUCCGGUGGCCACAAGCUUUGACUUCCAUGCCUCCCCAAACCUUUCGCUCAUCAGGCCUGUGAUUGCUCGGCUGAUAGUGUUGGCAUCUCCACGCGGCACAUUUUUGAUCCCAACUAAGUAUGUGGACAUCUACAGAACGUGGGAGAUCACAAUGUAUUCAUAUCAAUUAAUAAGCCAGUUCGUA